GACGAACCGUCCUAACGUUGUUCGGAAUUACUGGGCGUAAAGUGUGCGCAGGCGGCGCUGCAAGUCGAGUGUGAAAUCCCCGAGCUUAACUUGGGAAUUGCGCUCGAAACUACGGUGCUGGAGUAUGGCAGAGGAAGGUGGAAUUCCACGUGUAGCGGUGAAAUGCGUAGAGAUGUGGAGGAACACCGAUGGCGAAGGCAGCCUUCUGGGCCAAUACUGACGCUCAUGCACGAAAGCGUGGGGAGCAAACAGG
rnacentral:rRNA from 1 species